AUUGAACGCUGGCGGCAGGCCUAACACAUGCAAGUCGAACGGUAACAGGAAGCAGCUUGCUGCUUCGCUGACGAGUGGCGGACGGGUGUGUAAUGUCUGGGAAGCUGCCUGAUGGAGGGGGUUAACUACUGGAAACGGUAGCUAAUACCGCAUAAUGUCGCAAGACCAAAGAGGGGGACCUUCGGGCCUCUUGCCAUCGGAUGUGCCCAGAUGGGAUUAGCUUGUUGGUGGGGUAACGGCUCACCAAGGCGACGAUCCCUAGCUGGUCUGAGAGGAUGACCAGCCACACCGGAACUGAGACACGGUCCAGACUCCUACGGGAGGCAGCAGUGGGGAAUAUUGCACAAUGGGCGCAAGCCUGAUGCAGCCAUGCCGCGUGUAUGAAGAAGGCCUUCGGGUUGUAAAGUACUUUCAGCGGGGAGGAAGGGAGUAAAGUUAAUACCUUUGCUCAUUGACGUUACCCGCAGAAGAAGCACCGGCUAACUCCGUG
rnacentral:rRNA from 1 species